rnacentral:rRNA from 1 species
UAACACAUGCAAGUCGAGCGGAUGACGGGAGCUUGCUCCUUGAUUCAGCGGCGGACGGGUGAGUAAUGCCUAGGAAUCUGCCUGGUAGUGGGGGACAACGUGUCGAAAGGAACGCUAAUACCGCAUACGUCCUACGGGAGAAAGCAGGGGACCUUCGGGCCUUGCGCUAUCAGAUGAGCCUAGGUCGGAUUAGCUAGUUGGUGGGGUAAUGGCUCACCAAGGCGACGAUCCGUAACUGGUCUGAGAGGAUGAUCAGUCACACUGGAACUGAGACACGGUCCAGACUCCUACGGGAGGCAGCAGUGGGGAAUAUUGGACAAUGGGCGAAAGCCUGAUCCAGCCAUGCCGCGUGUGUGAAGAAGGUCUUCGGAUUGUAAAGCACUUUAAGUUGGGAGGAAGGGCAGUAAGUUAAUACCUUGCUGUUUUGACGUUACCGACAGAAUAAGCACCGGCUAACUCUGUGCCAGCAG